rnacentral:rRNA from 1 species
UGGGGAAUAUUGCACAAUGGGCGCAAGCCUGAUGCAGCCAUGCCGCGUGUAUGAAGAAGGCCUUCGGGUUGUAAAGUACUUUCAGCGGGGAGGAAGGGAGUAAAGUUAAUACCUUUGCUCAUUGACGUUACCCGCAGAAGAAGCACCGGCUAACUCCGUGCCAGCAGCCGCGGUAAUACGGAGGGUGCAAGCGUUAAUCGGAAUUACUGGGCGUAAAGCGCACGCAGGCGGUUUGUUAAGUCAGAUGUGAAAUCCCCCGGCUCAACCUGGGAACUGCAUCUGAUACUGGCAAGCUUGAGUCUCGUAGAGGGGGGUAGAAUUCCAGGUGUAGCGGUGAAAUGCGUAGAGAUCUGGAGGAAUACCGGUGGCGAAGGCGGCCCCCUGGACGAAGACUGACGCUCAGGUGCGAAAGCGUGGGGAGCAAACAGG